GCUGAACAAAGGGUGCAAGGAUACUGACCAGACUGGUUUCUGGCGUUCCCGCCCGUUAGCGAGAAGAAAUUUUAUUAUUUUAUCUGAAUUCUGUGUCUCCGUGUAUUUCUUUCCGAGAUUUCUGCAACAGUACCAGGCUCUGCGUGAGUUCCAAGCCUUUGACUUUGACCAGACACCCUGGCUCACCAGUGUGCAGAUGGCCACUCUGCAUUCUUUCUCCUGUGGCCUGGCCACCGGGGUCCUUCUGCUUCUGAUCCGGGGAGCCUACCUGGUGAGUUAUUAGUAUGCACAUCCAUAUAUGUUCCACUAACCCUGCUCCUCCAGUGCAUCCUAACUAAUCCACAUGCACUGCUGACGCUGUUCUCUGCACCCGCAGCACAGUCAAACCAUGAGUCUUGGCAGUUCCUCUGCUUCUUCUGCUUCUGGAACUCCACACCCUGCAUGGACUGGCCUUCUCUCAGCUUUGGGGAUAAGUUAUGCUUCCUUCUAUCUCAGUCAUUGCAUGUACAGGUUAUCUGUGACAAACAAGUAACUGCGUGAACCACUGGAGCUUCUCCUGAAGCCAAGGAAAUAUUGAGUGAAUGGAAUGAGACCAGUCUAGAAGUGCAUACGCCAGCUACAGCAGUGGUAAUCCACACUCGCUUAAUAAACAAGUCAACAUUUCACAGGAACAAAGCAUCCCAGGGAGAAAAAUGGGUAGAUCAUCCUCAGUCAGUGACUACCACAGCAUUUCUAUACUAGUAAUUUACUACACAUUUGCCAUCAUUAAGCUAUUA
rnacentral:lncRNA from 1 species